rnacentral:rRNA from 1 species
AACGAACGCUGGCGGCAGGCUUAACACAUGCAAGUCGAACGCAUCGCAAGAUGAGUGGCAGACGGGUGAGUAACGCGUGGGAACAUACCCUUUUCUACGGAAUAGCUCUGGGAAACUGGAAUUAAUACCGUAUACGCCCUACGGGGGAAAGAUUUAUCGGGGAAGGAUUGGCCCGCGUUGGAUUAGCUAGUUGGUGGGGUAAAGGCCUACCAAGGCGACGAUCCAUAGCUGGUCUGAGAGGAUGAUCAGCCACAUUGGGACUGAGACACGGCCCAAACUCCUACGGGAGGCAGCAGUGGGGAAUAUUGGACAAUGGGCGCAAGCCUGAUCCAGCCAUGCCGCGUGAGUGAUGAAGGCCUUAGGGUUGUAAAGCCCUUUCACCGAUGAAGAUAAUGACGGUAGUCGGAGAAGAAGCCCCGGCUAACUCCGAGCCAGCAGCCGCGGUAA